rnacentral:rRNA from 1 species
AUUGAACGCUGGCGGCAGGCUUAACACAUGCAAGUCGAACGAGUGGCGGACGGGUGAGUAAUGCUUGGGAAUCUGGCUUAUGGAGGGGGAUAACUACGGGAAACUGUAGCUAAUACCGCGUACCAUCGGCUGAGCCCAAGUGGGAUUAGGUAGUUGGUGGGGUAAAGGCUCACCAAGCCGACGAUCCCUAGCUGGUCUGAGAGGAUGACCAGCCACACUGGGACGGAGACACGGCCCAGACUCCUACGGGAGGCAGCAGUGGGGAAUAUUGCGCAAUGGGGGCAACCUGAUGCAGCCAUGUCGCGUGAAUGAAGAAGGCCUUCGGGUUGUAAAGUACUUUCGGUAGCGAGGCGUUAACUACAGAAGAAGCACCGGCUAACUCCGUGCCAGCCGCCGCGGUAAUAC